rnacentral:rRNA from 1 species
GACGAACGCUGGCGGCGUGCUUAACACAUGCAAGUCGAACGGAAAGGCCCUGCUUUUGUGGGGUGCUCGAGUGGCGAACGGGUGAGUAACACGUGAGUAACCUGCCAUUGACUUUGGGAUAACUUCAGGAAACUGGGGCUAAUACCGGAUAGGAGCUCCUGCUGCUUGGUGGGGGUUGGAAAGUUUCGGCGGUUGGGGAUGGACUCGCGGCUUAUCAGCUUGUUGGUGGGGUAGUGGCUUACCAAGGCUUUGACGGGUAGCCGGCCUGCGAGGGUGACCGGCCACAUUGGGACUGGGAUACGGCCCAGACUCCUACGGGAGGCAGCAGUGGGGAAUGUUGCACAAUGGGCGGAGGCCUGAUGCAGCAACGCCGCGUGCGGGAUGACGGCCUUCGGGUUGUAAUCCGCUUUCGCCUGUGACGAAGUGUGAGUGACGGUAAUGGGUAAAGAAGCACCGGCUAACUACGUG